ACUCCUACGGGAGGCAGCAGUGAGGAAUUUUGCGCAAUGGGCGGAAACCCUGACGCAGCGACGCCGCGUGGGUGAUGAAGGCCUUCGGGUCGUAAAGCCCUGUCGUGUGGGAAGAAACGUCCGCGAGCUAAUACCGCGRUGACUUGACGGUACCACUAAASGACGCCCCGGCUAACAUCCGUGCCAGCAGCCGCCGUAAUA
rnacentral:rRNA from 1 species